GGAAAUUCCGCCAGCAGAGUCAUCAAAAAGCAUAAGAGACUGCUGCAUGACUUGUGGCUCAGACUGCUUGGUUGAUUUGCAAGUGGGUGAGGUGAAAGACAGAUGGCCAUGGGCUGCAGGUGCCAACUCUGAACUUUCAGCAGGGGACUGGUUGGGAGACAAUGUCAAGGAACUGGAGGCACUGUCAGCCACCCAAUCUACUAUUGCCUGUACUUGUUCUGGCCUCACCAUUCAUAGAGCGGCAUUCGGGCCUACCAAAUAACGCAGAAGGUUCUGUCGCCUAAUCGCACCUGAGGAAGGUGUUUCACUUGUGCGUGUAGCUGGCACAGAUCAACCACGUCCUCUCCCUGCAACAGGAACUCCACCAUCACCAGCAGCAACACGACCAGGGCCACAUCCCUUAUUUGACGCUCUCCUCAUUCUUUGCGCUCACCCACCAAACUAACAGAUGGUUAUCAAGCGACAAUGUAACCGCCAAUAGUCAACAAUUAAGUUCACUGACAAUAAGGCAGUGCCGGUGUCCUAAAGAGAAAAAAUUUCUAGAGAUCACACAACAGUGUGACAGGCGUAAUUAAUACAGUUACUUCACUGUCUCAAAAAUUUUUAAUUUGUCAAACAACAAUGUAACAGUAGUAUUAAACGGUUUUAUUGGACUGCAAGAAAUGUACUAUUUAGCACAAAAAAAACUGUGAUUUUUUUUAAACCAACAAUGUAACAGUAGUAUUUAAGGGUUUUAUUGGACUGCAAGAAAUGCACCGCAUAUUUGAUGGUUCUAUUUGACUCUCAGAUAUGAAGUGCACACCCCAAAUUUACUUUUUAGAACCAAAGAAAUGUGAAUUGGUCAAACUGCAAUGUAACCACAGUAUUUGACGGUUCUAUUUGACUCUCAGAUAUGAAGUGCACACCCCAAAUUUACUUUUUAGCACCAAAACAAAUGUGAACUAGUCAAACUGCAAUGUCACAGCAGUAUUUGACGGUUCUAUUUGACUCUCAGAUAUAAAGUGCACGCCCCAAAUUAACUUUUUAGCACCAGAAAAAUGUGAAUUUGUCAAACUGCAAUGUCACAGCAGUAUUUAAAAAUGCCUAGAUGUUGCCCACUGAGCUACCAGGUACAUUAAAGUAAUGUGCCUGGCACACAUGCAGUUGCAAGUGCACUGCACUUGCAAAAAUGUCCGCCGAGGCCCACCUAACAAACAGACUGAUUG